rnacentral:rRNA from 1 species
AGUGAACGCUGGCGGUAGGCCUAACACAUGCAAGUCGAACGGCAGCACAGGAGAGCUUGCUCUCUGGGUGGCGAGUGGCGGACGGGUGAGGAAUACAUCGGAAUCUACCUUGUCGUGGGGGAUCACGUAGGGAAACUUACGCUAAUAUCGCAUACGACCUUCGGGUGAAAGUGGGGGACCGCAAGGCCUCACGCGAUUAGAUGAGCCGAUGUCGGAUUAGCUAGUUGGCGGGGUAAAAGCCCACCAAGGCGACGAUCCGUAGCUGGUCUGAGAGGAUGAUCAGCCACACUGGAACUGAGACACGGUCCAGACUCCUACGGGAGGCAGCAGUGGGGAAUAUUGGACAAUGGGCGCAAGCCUGAUCCAGCCAUACCGCGUGGGUGAAGAAGGCCUUCGGGUUGUAAAGCCCUUUUGUUGGGAAAGAAAUCUUGCCGGUUAAUACCUGGCGAGGAUGACGGUACCCAAAGAAUAAGCACCGGCUGACUUCGUGCCAGCAGCCGCGGUAACAC